AUACGGAGGGUGCAAGCGUUACUCGGAAUCACUGGGCGUAAAGCGCGCGCAGGCGGCUUGAUAAGUUGGAUGUGAAAGCCUACGGCUCAACCGUAGAACUGCAUCCAAAACUGUCAAGCUAGAGUCUGGGAGGGGAAGAUGGAAUUAGUUGUGUAGGGGUAAAAUCCGUAGAGAUAACUAGGAAUACCAAAAGCGAAGGCGAUCUUCUGGAACAGUACUGACGCUGAGGCGCGAAAGCGUGGGUAGCAAACAGGAUUAGAAACCCGAGUAGUCC
rnacentral:rRNA from 1 species